CAAAUUCUCUCCUUUCAGUUUGCCUCCAUUCAUUAGAGGGAGCGAAAAUGACCCCGUGGCUAAACUUGGUAUUCUUUCUUGCAUCCCUUGGAGGUGUCCGAUCUGAGGUUCAAUUGGUGGAGUCUGGAGGGGAUGUGAGAAGACCUGGGGAGUCCCUCCGUCUCUCCUGCCAACCCUCUGGAUUCACCUUCAGCAGCUACUACAUGUUCUGGGUGAGACAGGACCCAGGGAAAGGACUGGAAUGGGUGGCCAGUUUAAGUGGAAGCGCAACUUACACUUACUACUCUGACAAAGUGAAGGGACGCUUCACCAUCUCCAGGGACAAUGCCAAAAGCCAGCUGUAUCUUCAAAUGAACAAUCUGAAAGAAGAGGACACAUCUGUCUAUUACUGUGCGAGAGACACAGUGAGAGGAAGUGAAUCUGAAGCCCGUCAAAAACUUUCUCUCCUUCUGAGCAGCUUACAUUUAUUUACACUCAGUCCUUUUAUUACUUUCCUUGCUGAAUUCCCUCAGUUUCAUACUUUCCUACAUGUUAUUCAUUUUCCUUUCCUUCUGCAUUAG